rnacentral:rRNA from 1 species
UACCUACGGGACGCAGCAGUCGGGAAUAUUGCGCAAUGGAGGAAACUCUGACGCAGUGACGCCGCGUAUAGGAAGAAGUUUUUCGGAAUGUAAACUAUUGUCGUUAGGGAAGAGAAAGGACAGUACCUAAGGAGGAAGCUCCGGCUAACUACGUGCCAGCAGCCGCGGUAAUACGUAGGGAGCGAGCGUUAUCCGGAUUUAUUGGGUUUAAAGGGUGCGUAGGCGGUAUUUUAAGUUAGUGGUAAAACGUCGGGGCUUCACCUUGAUUGGCCAUUAAAACUGGAGUACUAGAGUACAGACGAGGU